rnacentral:rRNA from 1 species
GACGAACGCUGGCGGCGUGCUUAACACAUGCAAGUCGAACGAAGUGGCGAACGGGUGAGUAACGCGUAAUCAACCUGCCCUUCAGAGGGGGACAACAGUUGGAAACGACUGCUAAUACCGAAUACUGAAGGCGGGGAUUGCGUCUGAUUAGCUCGUUGGGUGGGUAACGGCCUACCAAGGCGAUGAUCCGUAGCCGGGCUUAGAGGAGGAACGGCCACAUUGGGGCUGAGACACGGCCCAGACUCCUACGGGAGGCAGCAGUGGGGAAUCUUCCGAAAUGGACGAAAGUCUGACGGAGCAACGCCGCGUGAGUGAUGACGGCCUUCGGGUUGUAAAGCUCUGUUAAGCGGGACGCGGUACCGGAAUAGAAAGCCACGGCUAACUACGUGCCAGCAGCCGCGGUAAUUC